UACGUAGGGGGCUAGCGUUGUCCGGAUUUAUUGGGCGUAAAGAGCGCGUAGGCGGCUAGGUAAGUCCGACGUGAAAUCUGGAGGCUCAACCUCCAGCGGUCGUUGGAAACUACUUGGCUAGAGUCCGGAAGAGGAGAGUGGAAUUCCUGGUGUAGCGGUGAAAUGCGCAGAUAUCAGGAAGAACACCGAUGGCGAAAGCAGCUCUCUGGGACGGUACUGACGCUGAGGCGCGAAAGCGUGGGGAGCGAACAGGAUUAGAUACCCUGGUAGUCCACGCCGUAAACGAUGGGUGCUAGGUGUGAGCGGUGUCGACUCCGCUCGUGCCGAAGCUAACGCAUUAAGCACCCCGCCUGGGGAGUACGGCCGCAAGGCUAAA
rnacentral:rRNA from 1 species